CCCACCCAGCAGGAAUCCUUGUAAUGAAAAUAUUCAAGACUAUUUGCAGAGAAAAGCUUAAAUGAUCUGAGCACAAUUUUUUAAAACUUCUCAAAAUGAGGUAUCAAAAUGUAUACAAACAUUUGAAAACCGAACUUUUAAAGCCUCGACAUACUUCUAAAAGUAUCUAAUGAUCAUAUUUCUAAGACUGAUUUCCCUUUCUUUUAUUAUUUUUAGAUUUAUUGCUUUCACCAAAGCUAUGAAGAAAAUAUACAGAAUCCAAUCUUAUUUAAGGAGAGAUUUUAUUGUCCAUAGAUUGAUAUAUCAGGAUGGAGGCAUGGACUCAGUUGAGACUAAAGAACUGCUUUAUGGCUUCUAAGGGAAGGUCUCACAGCAGAGGAUGGAGAUGGGCAGCCAGCAGGAACUAAGAAGAAACCCCAUCAGCAAAAGAGAAAUGCCGGGUACUUCCCAGUACCAUUGCUUGCACACACAAAAAUGCACUGUGAAUUCAUCCACCACAGACUUGCACAUCAGAGGUCAACACUGAUUUCAGCAAUGGACCAAUGAACAACAAACGGCUUAGACCCAAGGAUCAGCUGGAGAGAGCCACAGGAGAGUAAGUCCUUAUACUCCUUCAGGAAUUCAUUUAGAUACCUACAAUCAGAAGCAUGUCAGCAAUGACCAGGGCUGAGUAAUUUUAUACAAAAAAAAAACUGAAGGGAUUGUUGGAAUGUGUGAUUCUGGCUAAGCUUUCACAGAAUUAGGUAUUGAGUUUAUUUUUCAGAUAACAGAUGUGUAUAGACUCUGGAGGCAGAUCAGUAUAAUCGUAGUUAAAAAACGUAACAAAAACAUCAUUCUUUCUCUAUAUGGUUAUAUUAGAGCAAGGUAGAGCCACAUUGAGAAUAUAUAGAGACAGCCUUAAGAACUUGCCUCUCAGAGAAUCCAAGGUUUUACUCUUCUUUAGUGGUUUCUCUCCUAUGAUAAUGAGAGACAAUUCCUGCAUCUUAUACCCUGGAUACUAGUAUCUGCCUUAUUAGUAUCUAGCUCUUACUCUUCAUAUUCUCUCUCCUGUAUCUUCAUCCUAUCCUUUUCUACUGGCUCCUUUACAACAGUUUUUAAACAUGUACAAAUAACUUUUACCAUAAAAAUAUUAUGCAAAGUAUACGAGAAAAUAAAACAACCCUCCUCAACUCA
rnacentral:lncRNA from 13 species